AGAGUUGAUCCUGGCUCAGAACGAACGCUGGCGGCAGGCCUAACACAUGCAAGUCGAACGCCCCGCAAGGGGAGUGGCAGACGGGUGAGUAACGCGUGGGAACAUACCCUUUCGGUUCGGAAUAGCUCAGGGAAACUUGGAUUAAUACCGGAUACGUCCGUAAGGAGAAAGAUUUAUCGCCGAAGGAUUGGCCCGCGUCUGAUUAGCUUGUUGGUGAGGUAAUGGCUCACCAAGGCGACGAUCAGUAGCUGGUCUGAGAGGAUGACCAGCCACAUUGGGACUGAGACACGGCCCAAACUCCUACGGGAGGCAGCAGUGGGGAAUAUUGGACAAUGGGCGAAAGCCUGAUCCAGCCAUGCCGCGUGAGUGAUGAAGGCCUUAGGGUUGUAAAGCUCUUUUACCCGGGAAGAUAAUGACGGUACCGGGAGAAUAAGCCCCGGCUAACUUCGUGCCAGCAGCCGCGGUAAUACGAAGGGGGCUAGCGUUGUUCGGAAUUACUGGGCGUAAAGCGCACGUAGGCGGAUUUUUAAGUCAGGGGUGAAAUCCCGAGGCUCAACCUCGGAACUGCCUUUGAUACUGGGAAUCUUGAGUCCGGGAGAGGUGAGUGGAACUGCGAGUGUAGA
rnacentral:rRNA from 1 species